rnacentral:rRNA from 1 species
CGAACGCUGGCGGCAUGCCUAACACAUGCAAGUCGAACGGGAUCCACCUUUCGGGGUGGUGAGAGUGGCGGACGGGUGAGUAACGCGUGGGAACCUGCCCAGUGGUGGGGGAUAACUGCGGGAAACUGCAGCUAAUACCGCAUGAGCCCGAGAGGGGAAAGAUUUAUCGCCAUUGGAGGGGCCCGCGUUCGAUUAGGUAGUUGGUGAGGUAAUGGCUCACCAAGCCGACGAUCGAUAGCUGGUCUGAGAGGAUGAUCAGCCACACUGGGACUGAGAUACGGCCCAGACUCCUACGGGAGGCAGCAGUGGGGAAUAUUGGACAAUGGGGGCAACCCUGAUCCAGCAAUGCCGCGUGAGUGAUGAAGGCCUCGGGUUGUAAAGCUCUUUGCCUAGGGACGAUGAUGACGGUACCUGGAGAACUAAGACCCGGCUAACUUCGUGCCAGCAGCCGCGGUAAUCUGACUGGCGCGAGG